AGCGAUGGAAAGCGGCGGACGGGUGAGUAACGCGUAGGCAACCUGCCCAUACAGAGGGAUAGCCAUUGGAAACGGUGAUUAAUACCUCAUAACACCGGAAUAUCGCAUGGUAUACCGGUCAAAGUUUUUUCGGUAUGGGAUGGACCUGCGUCUGAUUAGCUGGUUGGUGAGGUAACGGCUCACCAAGGCGACGAUCAGUAGCCGACCUGAGAGGGUGAUCGGCCACAUUGGAACUGAGACACGGUCCAAACUCCUACGGGAGGCAGCAGUGGGGAAUAUUGGGCAAUGGGCGAAAGCCUGACCCAGCGACGCCGCGUGAGGGAAGAAGGUCUUCGGAUUGUAAACCUCUUUCAGUAGGGAAGAAGCAAGUGACGGUACCUACAGAAGAAGUCACGGCUAACUACGUGCCAGCCGCAGC
rnacentral:rRNA from 1 species